rnacentral:rRNA from 1 species
UACAGAGGUCUCAAGCGUUGUUCGGAUUCAUUGGGCGUAAAGGGUGCGUAGGCGGCGCGGUAAGUCGGGUGUGAAAUCUUGGAGCUUAACUCCGAAACUGCAUUCGAUACUGCCGUGCUUGAGGACUGGAGAGGAGACUGGAAUUUACGGUGUAGCGGUGAAAUGCGUAGAUAUCGUAAGGAAGACCAGUGGCGAAGGCGGGUCUCUGGACAGGUUCCUGACGCUGAGGCACGAAGGCCAGGGGAGCGAAACGGG